GAAAUGCGAUAAGUAAUGUGAAUUGCAGAAUUCAGUGAAUCAUCGAAUCUUUGAACGCACCUUGCGCUCCUUGGUAUUCCUUGGAGCAUGCCUGUUUGAGUAUCAUGAAAUCUUCAAAGUAAAUCUUUUGUUAACUCAAUUGGUUUCUACUUUGGUAUUGGAGGUCUUUGCAGCUUCACACCUGCUCCUCUUUGUUCAUUAGCUGGAUCUCAGUGUUAUGCUUGGUUCCACUCGGCGUGAUAAGUUAUCUAUCGCUGAGGACACUGUAAAAGGUGGCCAAGGUAAAUGCAGAUGAACCGCUUCUAAUAGUCCAUUGACUUGGACAAUACUUUUAUGAUCUGAUCUGAAAUCAGGUGGGACUACCCGCUGAACUUAAGC
rnacentral:misc_RNA from 1 species